UGGGCAGUAGCUCAGUGGUAGAGCUCCAGAUUCGUAUGCGGGAAGACCUGGGUUCGAUUCAUUGUUGCUUAC
rnacentral:tRNA from 1 species